AGGAAAGAACUACAACAGGAUUUCGCUUUUCAUUUGUCCAGAGAGCCACUUCAAACAAGGUUUGUUAAUUUUAUAUUUUAAUGUGUUUACAUAUACAACAGCUAGUAAUGUGUUUAUUUUCUCAGCUUUGAUUGCAGAGGAUGGUACCUCAGACUCAGACCCUGAGAUUGUGAUUACAUCAAGAAGCACAGCUGAGUUCAACCAAGCAGACACAUUGGUUUUCAAACCACAAGACCAGAGUACCCCUAAUGGUAAACAUGCAGAGACGGAACAUGCUCCAGGACCUUCAUCUACCAUACAGCCAUUUCCG